CUUUCCCCCCGUUUUCUUCUUCCUCUCCCCGAGCUGUCGCUCUCUCUUUCUCUCCUCUGCAACUCCGGUUGCUUUCUCUUUCCGGCCACCAAAAAGCGUGAAACCGGUGGCUACGGACUCGUCUCGACUUCCUCUUGGCGCUGGCGGUGGUGGCUCACGGCGGCUUGGCCAGAAAACGACGCAUCAAGCCUUAGAAGUUUACUGUAGCAGUUUGAGUCAACGCCGAUUUCUUCCUAUUCCGGCCACCUCCGACGACGAACCAUAAUCAUUUGGAAGCGGCUUGAGAUGUAGAUGAUGCUCCCCAAAUCUUUUGCAACGAUUUGCAGUGUAGAGGAAGAAUCGACGAUUGGAAGAUUAUGGUCACUAUUCACAGUUUGAGUUCAAGCUUCUCCUUAAUUGUUGAGGGCAAUGUUGCGAGCUACGGCUAGAUGAAGGAACUCGUUUUCGUGGUCGCCAACUAGUACUUUUGCAGGCGAAUUAGUUGAGGUCGGGCGUACACGAAAUUGAGGCAUAGUCAGCAGCAUGGCUUCCGCAUCUGCCUUUGAAUUAGGUUUUCCUCAUAUACCUUUCUGUUAGAAUUGCUCUGAUUACCUAUGGGAUUUAUGUUAUUCAAGUUGAGAUAUGUGUUUUGUGAAUUGGAGAUUGAUGUUGAUUUGGGGAGCAGGGUGGCUCCAGGGGCAUAAGGAUGAUUCGAUUGAGAAGUGUAAAUGUUCCCUACAGGUUUGGGUUGCCCAUUUUAGGGGAAGUUCCGCCAAAUUUUUGGUAGAAUUUCUUCUAAGGUGGGCC